rnacentral:rRNA from 1 species
AACGAACGCUGGCGGCAUGCCUAACACAUGCAAGUCGAACGAGACCUCCGGGUCUAGUGGCGCACGGGUGCGUAACGCGUGGGAACCUGCCUUUAGGUUCGGAAUAACUCAGAGAAAUUUGAGCUAAUACCGGAUGAUUUCUUCGGACCAAAGAUUUAUCGCCUUUAGAUGGGCCCGCGUUGGUUUAGCUAGUUGGUGGGGUAAAGGCCUACCAAGGCGACGAUCCAUAGCUGGUCUGAGAGGAUGAUCAGCCACACUGGGACUGAGACACGGCCCAGACUCCUACGGGAGGCAGCAGUGGGGAAUAUUGGACGAUGGGCGAAAGGCUGAUCCAGCAAUGCCGCGUGAGUGAUGAAGGCCUUAGGGUUGUAAAGCUCUUUUACCCGAGAUGAUAAUGACAGUAUCGGGAGAAUAAGCUCCGGCUAACUCCGUG